UCACCCGUGUGAGUUCUCUGAUGGACAGUUAAAUAGGACUUGGUGGAGAAGGCUUUCCCACAUUCUGCACACUCAUAGGGCUU
ensembl:miRNA predicted gene, 24082